AUGGAGUUCAGCUUAUUUAGAGAUGGGUCAGUGACUCUCUUGCUUGGGAUGCUGCUGCUUUGCGUUCCAGGAUCCACUGGCGAUAUUGUGCUGACCCAGUCUCCAACUUCCUCAGCUGUUUCUCUAGGACAGAAGGCCACCAUCUCCUGCAAGGCCAACCGGAGCAUCAGUGGUUUGGGUGGAACUGAUUUGAUGUACUGGUAUCAACAGAAACCAGGACAGGCUCCCAAACUCCUGAUCUAUGCAGCAUCUAAUGUAGCACCUGGGGUCCCUGCCAGGUUCAGCGGCACUGGGUCUGGGACAGAUUUCACCCUCACCAUCAGUCUGGUGGAGGCUGAUGAUGCUGCAACCUAUUACUGUCAGCAGAGUAAGGAGCUUCCUCCCACAGUGUUCUAG